rnacentral:rRNA from 1 species
GACGAACGCUGGCGGCAUGCCUAACACAUGCAAGUCGAACGAGACCUUCGGGUCUAGUGGCGCACGGGUGCGUAACGCGUGGGAACCUGCCCUUAGGUUCGGAAUAACUCCCCGAAAGGGGUGCUAAUACCGGAUAAUGUCUUCGGACCAAAGAUUUAUCGCCUUUGGAUGGGCCCGCGUUGGAUUAGCUAGUUGGUAGGGUAAAAGCCUACCAAGGCGACGAUCCAUAGCUGGUCUGAGAGGAUGAGCAGCCACACUGGGACUGAGACACGGCCCAGACUCCUACGGGAGGCAGCAGUGGGGAAUAUUGGACAAUGGGCGAAAGCCUGAUCCAGCAAUGCCGCGUGAGUGAUGAAGGCCGUAGGGUUGUAAAGCUCUUUUACCCGGGAUGAUAAUGACAGUACCGGGAGAAUAAGCUCCGGCUAACUCCGUG